AUUAGGAGCCUUGUCACAAUUCCACACACACACACACAUACCAGCAGCCAAGGAGAGGGUGAGAGAAGGAGAGUGUGAUUAGAGGGAAGUAGAGAAGAAGAAGAAAAGAAAAAGAAGAAAAGAAAAGGAAGAAAAUGGUGCCUUCUAGGGUCAAGGUGAUGAAGCAGUUUACAAUGGUGAAGGUUAUUUCGAAGGCAAACAAGAUAAAG